ensembl:lncRNA
CAGAAACCAAAUUUCUCUGCACUGUCUAUUGGUGAGUGUCUGCCCAAAGUUCAGGGGAAGGAUGGAGGAGAGGCUCCCUCACAAAGGGAAAGGUCUUUGGGAGUCCCCUGAUUAAAUCUGCUUGCUGUCUUUUCCACUGCUGCCUCACAAAGCAAGACAGCACCUAUGCGUGGUACAUCAGGACACAGCUGGUAGGUUCCCAGCACCGCCCAGGUACUUCCAGCACAUCUGCCGUGGGAGGCUUCCCUCCCUCUCUGACACGGGGCUUCGGUAUCUGCUUGUUGCUGCCCUCUCCUGCUCAGAUUCUUCCAGCACUUUGCUCUGGGAUCACGAAUCUAGCUGGCCCCUGCAGCCACCAAAUAGCUCCCGGUCGCAGACCCACCGGAGGCUCUCAGCAGUCCCUCACCUCUUAUACAGAGGGGGAAAGGGCCAUGCGAGACCCUCCACAUGCCGGCCGUACUUACCUCCUAAAGCUUGCUUCAUCACAAAAUCCAUGGCGAUGGCUCAGGGGCGCAGCCCAGCUUCACACCUCGCAUGCACGGAGUCCGGCAAUCGGCGGCGGGCAGCCUGAGGGAAGGGGUACAGACACGAGACGAGCGGUUUCUCCCGGAGGAAAAACGGCGACUGUUUGCUCCCUCCAUCCCCACCGCCCUCCUUCCCUGCCAAGUUUCCAGCCGCCGUCCCUCGGACCCCGGCUCUACAGGACAAGGCAGGGGGAUGCCAGUCAGUGCAGGGGGGAAGGCAAGAGGGCAGGGGAGCGGCGGUGGCCCGAGAAGGCGGGUGGCCGGCAGCGCGCCCGCAGGCAGCCGGACGAGAAAGCGUUAAAGCUCCGAACUUUCUCUAUUCCCCGCCCGCACCUCCCGCCACCUGGCUUUCCGGAGGGGGCAUUUGAAGGUGAAACGUUCCGCGUGUGCCCGGCGGGGCGAGCGGGUAAGACGAGCGGCGGGGAUGCAGCCGUGGCGGCGGGACGCGGGGAUGCGACACCACUUCGCCAGGUCCUGGAAAGAGUUGGCAGACAGCGACGAAAACAGGGAGAGAGUAGCGCCUCGUCCUUUCUUCUCCUUCGGCUUGGAUUGUACUGUGGCCGGAGGGACCGCCGGCUGAGCUCUCCGUUCCCUCCCUAUUCAGGUCCGUCUGUAUCCCAAGAGAAGAUGGGUGGAGGGCGGGGGCAAGGAAGGGAGGAGAAGGACCCUCCUCCGCGCGGUCGCCUGCUGUAG